rnacentral:rRNA from 1 species
CAGCAGCCGCGGUAAUGCGUAGGUCCCGAGCGUUGUCCGGAUUUAUUGGGCGUAAAGCGAGCGCAGGCGGUUAGAUAAGUCUGAAGUUAAAGGCUGUGGCUUAACCAUAGUACGCUUUGGAAACUGUUUAACUUGAGUGCAAGAGGGGAGAGUGGAAUUCCAUGUGUAGCGGUGAAAUGCGUAGAUAUUCGGAGGAACACCAGUGGCGAAGGCGGCUCACUGGACCAUUACCGACGCUGAGGUGCGAAAGCGUGGGGAGCAAACAGGAUUAGAUACCCCUGUAGUCCCUGUCUCUUAUACA